GACCUGCUGGUGAAUGGUUCACACCCAUCUUUCAUAAAACGAGUGUAGCAUUGCAAUUGAAAAUGGGAGUCUCUGGUUCGACUCCGGGUCAGGUCU